CGCUGCUUGCAUAGAGAACGCCACAGUCACUGAACGACAGCAAUUCAUUCCGAUACGUGCGCUAACAAUUCGCUAGCAUUUAUAUUCUCUUAGUGAGACUAGAGAUCUGAUGCACGUGCAACUUCAACCUGUCCAAACAGAAUCCACGCAGAACCUGCGUUUUCUUCUGAACUACAGUACAUGUACGGUGUGAGGUAAAUUAAUUAAAAAACUUCACCCACAGUCAGAACGACGCAUCUUUUAACACGUACCCUUUUAAAAAAAAAAAAAAAUGCCUGAGGUAGAAAAAUAUCUCUUUCCUGGAAGACUUUCUUGGAUGUGUGCUGAAGCACAAGUUUUAGGUGACGCUGCAAGCACAGGCAGCUCCUGCUCACAGAUUAGCACGUUAGCACUCCUGGCUGAGAAAGCCAGACUGUGCAGACAGCCCUCCAGAAGCAAUGAGCAACACAAGCCAGGUUGUGCUAUCUUCACUUAACGUGGGAGAGGUCCCAGCUGGUCCCAGCUGGUCCCAAUGGACAAAGACCCAGGCAGGAGUGUUUGCGUAAGCCCUUCCCUACUACUGAGUUCUAUCUUCAACAUCAUUUAGGAGAUGGUCUGAUUAUGACCUACCUGUGCCGCGAGCCCCAUGUGGCACAGCCCUCAUCGCUGUCGCAGUCUUCCUGAGGCUGGGUGGGGCUCAGAGAGGGAUCGGGACCCAGGGAAACGGUGUCCUCAGUAUUAAUCGGAGAGUCAGCCAUGCCCUCAGACGCCGCGUAACCUUGAUCGGCCAAACUCUCGCUGCUGCACAUGGACACCGUCUCGGCUUCUUGCUCCGCUGCAUGCAGCCAGACUGAGGUCCGGGACAAAAUGGACAAGUGUUAGCAUUGGAAGAAUUAUUUAUUAUUUUGGUGGAACACAUUGUUGUCCCAUAACACUUCAGAUUUACACACAAUGUAGCCGUGAUGCAAAAAAAUAAAUAAAAAUAAAAACAAAACAGUGUA